GGAUUCGUUAUACUAAGACAAGCCCAGGUCUAGCACUGUUAUAUAUCCAUAAAGUUAAGACAUGGCAAAUUAAAAUAGUUUUGGAUUUUAUGAUAUGUUUUCCAAGCAGCUGAGUCAUCAAAAUAUCCAUGACCCUGUACAAAUCAGGAAUUUCACUUACUGGUCAAUACAUACACACAGCAUGCCAUCAGAUCCUGAAAUAUAUAGUAAAAUAUGAGCUUAGUCAAAUGUUCCUUUAAAUUUGUUAUCUAGUAUUGCAGUCCCGAGAUUCCACAAUGAUACCUUCAAAACUUAUCACUCACAACACUGAACAUUCUGUUUGAACAUUCUGUUUUGGGAAUCAUAGGUAGUCAUAUACAACUAAUACAGCUGUCUAAAGAGAUCAUAAUAAAGUAGAGGGAACAAAAUUCACCAUUUGUGCAGCUUGUGGUUGUAAUAAAACAAUCAUUAGUUAAAGUAACAAAAGCAUUAAAUAAAGAUGGCAUUUACCAGUAAUAAUCCUCGUGCAAAAAUGUACAAACAGCUUAAAGUGCAAUGGAUACAAACAGUUGCCCCUUGUGAGUUACUCAACAUAAGUAGAUAAACUGUACACAGAAAAAAA